rnacentral:lncRNA from 1 species
AUGAUUAAGAGUCUAUAUAUUUGCCUCACUUCCUCUCUCCUCUCUCUCUUUGCCAGCGGAGGAGUUGAGCUUGGGGUCUCUCUCUCAAUGAUGUUGGGUGUGACUAGAGGUGUGGUUCAUGGCAGCGUUUUGACAUCUUGGCGUGGGUCAGAAAAUGGGGAUAAUAAUAUCGACCUGCAAGAAUCAUAUGAGAAAUUAAGGCCUAUAAAGGUAAUGUCUCUCUCAGAGGAAGAAAAAAAAUUAAGAAGCUGA